rnacentral:rRNA from 1 species
UACGUAGGGUGCAAGCGUUGUCCGGAAUUAUUGGGCGUAAAGAGCUCGUAGGCGGUUUGUCGCGUCUGGUGUGAAAAUCCAGGGCUUAACCCUGGACCUGCAUCGGGUACGGGCAGACUAGAGUGCGGUAGGGGGAGAUCGGAAUUCCUGGUGUAGCGGUGAAAUGCGCAGAUAUCGGGAGGAACACCGGUGGCGAAGGCGGCCUACCUGGACCAGCCACUGACACUGAUGCGCGACAGCAUGGGGAGCAAACGAGG